rnacentral:rRNA from 1 species
GAUGAACGCUGGCGGCGUGCCUAAUACAUGCAAGUCGAGCGAACGGACGAGAAGCUUGCUUUUCUGAUGUUAGCGGCGGACGGGUGAGUAACACGUGGAUAACCUACCUAUAAGACUGGGAUAACUUCGGGAAACCGGAGCUAAUACCGGAUAAUAUUUUGAACCGCAUGGUUCAAAAGUGAAAGACGGUCUUGCUGUCACUUAUAGAUGGAUCCGCGCUGCAUUAGCUAGUUGGUAAGGUAACGGCUUACCAAGGCAACGAUGCAUAGCCGACCUGAGAGGGUGAUCGGCCACACUGGAACUGAGACACGGUCCAGACUCCUACGGGAGGCAGCAGUAGGGAAUCUUCUGCAAUGGGCGAAAGCCUGACGGAGCAACGCCGCGUGAGUGAUGAAGGUCUUCGGAUCGUAAAACUCUGUUAUUAGGGAAGAACAUAUGUGUAAGUAACUGUGCACAUCUGGACGGUACCUAAUCAGAAAGCCACGGCUAACUACGU